GCGGCAGGCCUAAUACAUGCAAGUCGAGCGGCAAGUUAGGUAGUAAUACUUGACCUAGAGCGGCGCACGGGUGCGUAGCGCGUAUGCAACCUACCUUUUACUGGGGGAUAGCCCGGAGAAAUCUGGAUUAAUACCCCAUAGUACCUAAGGAUCGAUUGGUUUUUAGUUUAAAGAUUUAUCGGUAAAAGAUGGGCAUGCGUCUGAUUAGCUAGUUGGCGGGGUAACGGCCCACCAAGGCGACGAUCAGUAGGGGUUCUGAGAGGAAGGUCCCCCACACUGGCACUGAGAUACGGGCCAGACUCCUACGGGAGGCAGCAGUAGGGAAUAUUGGGCAAUGGUCGCAAGACUGACCCAGCCAUGCCGCGUGCAGGAAGACGGCCCUCUGGGUUGUAAACUGCUUUUAUCUGGGAAGAAAAGGUCCAUGCGUGGAAAAUUGCCGGUACCAGAUGAAUAAGCACCGGCUAACUCCGUGCCAGCAGCCGCGGUAAUACGGAGGGUGCAAGCGUUGUCCGGAUCUAUUGGGUUUAAAGGGUGCGUAGGCGGCUGAAUAAGUCAGCGGUGAAAGACUUCGGCUUAACCGGAGCAGUGCCGUUGAUACUGUUUAGCUUGAGUGUUGGAGGGGUACAUGGAAUUGAUGGUGUAGCGGUGAAAUGCAUAGAUACCAUCAGGAACACCGAUAGCGAAGGCAUUGUACUGGCCAACAACUGACGCUGAGGCACGAAAGUGUGGGGAUCGAACAGGAUUAGAUACCCUGGUAGUCCACACUGUAAACGAUGAUUACUCGCUGU
rnacentral:rRNA from 1 species